ensembl:snoRNA
UAUAAUGAAUCUGCUUACCUGAAGUGUGUUUCCGCAGAAAUUUCGAAAAAGCUGGCAACAGUAAAGGCAUGUUACAAGCCUUAAAGACAUUGAAGUGAUUAAGGUUGCUGAAAAUGGCUAUAAGA